UAAUACAUGAACUGUCUGUAACAGCCGUGUGUCCCGCUAUCUAAACACUCCUGUAAAAAAAAAAAAGAAGCACUUUUUACAACAGAUGUUGUCACAAAGCAGCUUUACAAAUGUCCAAAUCCAAGCCCCCAGUGACCAAGCCAAGGGCAACAGUGGCAAGGGAAAAGAGCAUGGUCCUAGGGCCUAGUCUUGCCCUGAUAAUGUGCAUGUGUCCUGCAAGAGAACGUCCAUCAAGGGCAACGGAGAGUGGUUGUCUGGGGUGGAGGUGUGGUGGGCUACAGUAGGGGGCAUCGGGGGGUGGUGGGAGUAUCCAAGGCAGCUGAGACAGGUUGAAGCUCACUAACAUCACAACAUCAGGGGUAGGAGCACCUCGGCAGAAAGAGAGACUAGAUUAUUAGGCAUGUCCAGAUAUGAGGGUGUGUAAAUUACAGAGCUAUCAUGUGAAAUGUCCUGUUAAACAUAGAUGCACUUCGUGGAGGUAUUUCAUAAUAUGCACCUUCUUGCAAGUGAAAAUCGUCUUUACUGAAAAGAUUUUAGGCACACGUUUUUCGGAACUUUGAGGUUAUAAAGGUCCUAUGGAAAGCUAAAUCAGGAAGCGUCAGAAAUCGUCACCAGCCAAUGAGAUUUCAUGUUUGGGUUUAAAGCCCCACUUCUCCUUCCGUCGUUGGUUGCUGAUAAAAAGGCAAUGACAAUGACGCUGUACAGAGAACGGCCACGGUACUGCAUGGUGCGUUAGAAUAUAACAUCGUGAAUUUAGAAUAAAUCUACAGACAAAACAAAGAAAAAACGAAUACCUAAAUGUGUAUUUUCACAGGGUUAAUUUCGUGCCAAAACGGUCGCUAGAAUAUUCCUGGCUUUUAAUCGAAUGUGUUACCUCGCAAGAGGAUCAGAUCAGUUGACUGCUGGAUUUACCUUUCUUCCAUACAAAUAAAGAUCGGCCGCGACGCCCGAAAGGUGGAAUUGAACCACUCUGCCGCUAAGCAGCUACAGGUUUGAAGCCUGCACCCCGGACCACCGAGGGUCAUCCGGGCAUUAAGAAAAGCGUUGGGAUCGAAGGUCUUUUCACAACUCACUGUCUUAGAGGUAUAGCGCCAUCUGUCUGCCAAACACCGAAGGAGAAGGAAGCAGGGAGCUGCCCACAGCACUUUCUGGUGAAAAUAUCCAGUGUAGAAAUUAUCUUUAAAUUUAAUUUGAUUUAUGUUGGGACUAUUGUAAAUGAAGUAAAACAUCAAAAAAUGAAAGUAGAGGAAAAUUCUCGUCGAUUUGGUUGGUGCGAAAUGAUUGCUGUAUUGAACAUCAAAUAACGUUUACAUGGACACAUAGUAGCGGCCACUAGUUACCAUGACAACGAGCGUCACGUGAGUCCAGUCAGCGUGAGCAGCACGUUGCCGAGGGUUGGAGGCCUUGUCUUGUUUACUUUAAAAGAAUGGCAAUCUCAGGAAAACGCACUUAUUCUGUAACCUGCGUAUUAAGGAAAAGCAAGACGUUGACAUCGUGAAACAUAUUUUAGCCUAAGUAAAUAUCUUAAAUGUU